ACAAACGAUCGUCAUUGGAAAACAUUGCUCUUAUGGAAAAGUCAAAGAAAAAUCUCUGGUAUUAAUAAUCAGAGAGAGAUUUGCAAAAUUAUUGAUAAAAAUGUGGAAACAGGUAGCUAUGUUUACGAGGGUUAAAGGUUGCAAUCUUUUUAUAAUUGUUAGGAAAUAUUGGUGGCCAAGAAGAGGUUUUGCAAUGGACAAUGGAAAAAAUGCAACGUUCAGCUAUCACGGAAAGUCGUGACGUAACUAGGAUUGCGAAAAUUGGCCUUCGUCGAGGUAUUGCUGUAACGAUUCCAGCGUUUAUCGGUCGGGGUUCUGCCGACGUUUCACCGAGUUCGCAGAUUCACAAAACGAGUUCACCGUUCUUGGAAAUCGAGCUGCGUUAAUAAGGUCAUGGAUCUCUAAUUAAUCCUUUACGUUUCUUUCUUCUCGACCUGAUAAAUUGGUAAUAGUUAAAUCGAACUUGUAAUCAUGUACUUAAUCUCUCGUUCUAAUUUAACGUAACACCCCGCAGUUACAACGAAGAAUUUGUAAAGAGACGGGAGCUUUCUGGAACGAGUCAUUUCGCUUCGAUGACAAAACUUGCGACCUGGUCAAAGAGCAACGAGAAAGCGAUAGAAAAAGCGGUGGACAAUGAGAGGGAGAUCCGCAGUGAUGUCACGACGUAUUGUAUUUCGCUUAUCGACGCCAGAUGCCGAUUCCUCGUGGAACUCGUAGCAUUUCACGAAUGCGAAUGCCACGAUUUCCGACGACAAUGACCACCGAGACAACGACCUUCGAAGAUCGACUUUGUUCUAGUCAACGCACCUUCAUAUUUUUAUACUCGCCAAGAAAAUCUUUCAGUUUGAUAUACGGAGAUAAAAUGAAGUUUUUAAUCCUUAGUUUGUUAUUUUCUGCUGAUGACAAAACAAUGUAUCAUUAUUUAGACGUUAGUCUAAAAACUUCACUAGGUGCACCGUUAUAGUUGACAUAUUUGUGUGCGCAAGGCACCCGUGAUCAAUGUUAUGACAAUUCGAGGUCGCAGCACGGUGUCCCCGUUUUCAAAACAGUUUUUUGUCGACCUAUGCAGGCGAUGGAGGGAAUAAUUCGUUGGGGGUAGGACAAAUAGUCAUUUACAAUAAUUAUUGGUACGCUAAGUUUUACAACCUAAGUUUUAUGUCACUGAACACUUGCUUAAUUUUUAAAUUGCAUUGAUUUAAUGAUAAGGUCAAGUGAUGAGGGUCAAUCAAGGAAUUCAUGACUCCAUAUUGUAUAUCUACAUCGAUUAUAAGUUGGAACAAACAUCGAGGGGCGUCAGGACACGUGUAAUGUCUAAUGACCCAUCUCUGACCUAAUCAAGGGUAGCUUUUGAGAGAACCUCUCCAUUCAGAAAACAGGAGCACGUGCCUCCCUAUUAGCUUGAAAACGUGUCUAUAACGAUGGGGCCAUUAACGUAACGAUAAAGUAACUUCAGGAUCAAAUGGAUGAUCAUAAUUCAGUUAAAAUAAUAAACACCUGAUGUAAAAAUUAUAAUUAAGUAAUCUCUCAUGUUUGUAGCAAUUAAUUCUGAAAUUUGAAAUGACUGUAUGAUUCUUACAAGUGAUUUGUUUUUACAGAGUCACCCUACAGAUGUGGAUCUUCAGGAUUUAAGAGUCUUGAAAAAUAACACAUUGCCAGGGUAAUUAAGCUUCACACAGCACCAGUGAAUCCCAACGCAACCAGAAAUUGAAUUUCACCUCCAAAGAAACAAAGCGCCGAAUCAAAAACGCAACGUACACCGCGUAUCAGCUUUAAGAUAAGAAGAGUAAGGGGUGAGGAAGGUACGAGGAUAAAACAGAAGCUCGAAUCAGAGGGCAGAGGGUCAUCUGCGCGACGAUAGCUCAUCUCAUGGUAUCUUCCGCGUGAGCCAAUCGUCGCCUGGUAUCUCGACCUCGUCAACGUCGUCGUCGCAACGUUUUCCAGCGUCCUUCUCUCGUACUUGUACACCGGAAGUAUAUAUAGAAUUGCAACUCGUCAAAAAUCUACUUUCUUCAGCUCCUAAAUAUCACGUUUCAACCAUUUCUUUCAGGACGGAUGAUACGUUAUCAAAGAAAGAAGAGUUGUGUUUACUAUAACGAAUACUCGGUGUUUUGCAAAGGAACUAAUCAUGUAGCAGGUUUGACCAAAAACAGCAAUAAGGAUUACUUAACCAGAUAAUUCGAGGGGCCCGACCGUGUUCCCGCCUUUUGGUUCGUCGUCGCAGAUUUAUCAGGAAUCUCCUUCCUUCGCGUUUCGCGAUUGAACGACCGUCAUUCUGAUCAUCUUAUCGUUACAGAGUCAAGGAAGCGGAACUUAGACGAUAAGAAAAUCGAGUACAAACUGCGUGCAAUUCUUGGAUGCUCGGGGAAGUGGCUCAAGGAAUCAACUCGUGACACAGGUUGACGCAGAUCGAUCAAGUUUACUAUAACGCGGAUUACGAGAUUUUAUCAAAUUGAAUCUAAUAUAUAAUACAACUGGAGUGCGAACGAGAUUGAUAAGCGGAUUCGCGACUCCUUUAUCAGCUACGAUUAGACGAAAGCCGUGCCCUUGUUUACUACAAGAUCUAUUUUAACGCAAGCGCGAAGAUAUUACAUAUGGCCUGGUUUCUGGAUAAACAAACAGGGUCGCGUUAUCGUUGCUGAAAACCAGGCGCCAUCGAUUCGCCAAAAGAUUGCAAGGUGUUUACAACUUAUUAACCCCUUGAUCAUACAAAUGCGGAACGAUGCUCCUUGCACGGUUUAAACGAAGUUAAAUAGCAGUCCAUAGUAAUCAGGGCUGCACAAUUAAACGCGUCGACUAAGCCGUGCUCAGGCUUAUCGGACAUUCUUUAUUGUGUCGAUAAAUUUGCACGCGAAUGCGAUUGUUAAACGUAAUACGGGAAUGUGGAGCACGAAUCAAGACGAAUAGAGGAGUAGAAGCGACGGAGGGAUUCACGAAAACGCUGUCGUUGGCCGAUAUAUCAGCUCUCGGCUGGUGGAGCAGCCAACAUUCCCGGAUUAGCGACCAUAACUCUCGCUGGUGAGAGCACUCUGAACAGCUCUCUCGAUUUCGAAAACACGAAAAGCGACGAGGCGGUUCUUGUUGCUUCUGCAAAAAUUCCUGACCGCCUCGGAGGAUCCUUAAGCGAAGGUUUAUCUUAAGGAAUUAGAGAUGACUAGGAUUUUUACGGCGCCUUUAUGAUCAGCCUUUUAUACCGGAGAUAUCGACGACGGUGAGCUUCUUGGAUUUCAACGGUGGUGCGCUGAGGAUUAAUCGUGUCCAACGGUUUCUGUUUAUCUAGCGAUUAGCGAAUCAGACAAAUCUGGUAACGCGAAACCGUGCACGCAACCGCUUCCCUUUAUCAACGUUUAUCGUAGCCUUCGAUCCUGUGUCGGACCUCUUUCGACAUCUUCAGGUUCCGUUACGGAUCAGAGAAAUAUUCUCCGGGAGUCUUAUGCUGGUAAAAGAAUCCCCAUAACGAUGUUAAUGUUCAAAAGUUGUUCUUAAGAGAACCUUUCGAUCAAAAUAGAAUGCACAAACGGUAAAUUCGACUAAUUAAAUCAUAAAGUGCCUAUAACGCGUUAACGAUACUAUAAUGCAUGCUUUAAUUCAACAGGAAUGAUCGUUCAGUUUUUGGAUGGAUUUAUUAUGCUCCCAUAAACAAGCGGUCUCCCGUCUCUGUCUCUCCCGCUGGAUAAUUAAUGGAUAUGGUUUGCGUUAACGACCAGCUUAUAACUGGACGUAUCCAUCAGCAACAUGAUACAAUCAACCGCGUAUAUUCAGCGAGCGCAAAAACAAUUGGGCGAUAGUGGCUGAUAAAUCAUGAAAGGGCGCCUACCUUGAUGCAGAGAUGGGAGAGGCGAUGGCGGUGACACCUGAAAUGGCUCCUGUUUGAUCUUUAGAGAAUGGGAGGACU